rnacentral:rRNA from 1 species
UACGGAGGGUGCGAGCGUUGUCCGGAAUCACUGGGCGUAAAGCGCACGUAGGCGGCUCUUUAAGUCGGAGGUGAAAUCCUGGAGCUCAACUCCAGAACUGCCUUCGAUACUGAAGAGCUCGAGUCCGGGAGAGGUGAGUGGAACUGCGAGUGUAGAGGUGAAAUUCGUAGAUAUUCGCAAGAACACCAGUGGCGAAGGCGGCUCACUGGCCCGGUACUGACGCUGAGGUGCGAAAGCGUGGGGAGCAAACAGG